rnacentral:lncRNA from 1 species
CAACAAUGCUCUGCAGCCGUGCGGGCCUGAUAGGUACAGGAAAAUAGCAUCUGCCAUAAAUGAGCUGCAAUGCCUGUGCUUUGGUACCUCUGAAUGGAACAAUCUGUACUCAUUUCGAUUACUGGAAUCCAGCAUAGAAGAUGUGAUGAAUUGUGGAGAUGGGCUCAGCCUUCCCAGCAAAACCAGCCCAGUGCCCUGCCUGUCCCAGCCUGUGCCUGAGGAGAUGAGGUCUUGAAGCGAAGGAACUGCAGACGUAGUGUAGAUGGUCAGAGAUGCCGCAUCCACUGAAAUGAAGAUGCAAUUGUUGGACUGAGCAGGGAGGCUGAACCGCAGGGGAUGCUCAGCAUGUGCCUGCACGCCACGGUGCCAAGCAGCUGGGCCAGCUUCCUAUGGACUGCUGCACGCGGGACAGGGGGGGAAAUCACCCAGCCGGGGGAGAAGCCCAAAUCGUUUCUCACGCGUAUGGAUAUACCGAAACCUCCGGUGCUGCACCUUUCUCCUCACCGCCCC